rnacentral:rRNA from 1 species
AUUGAACGCUGGCGGUAGGCCUAACACAUGCAAGUCGAACGCGAAAGUCCUUCGGGAUGAGUAGAGUGGCGGACGGGUGAGUAACGCGUAGGAAUCUAUCCUGUAGUGGGGGAGUAACGUUUCGAAAGGAACGCUAAUACCGCAUACGCCCCAACGGGGGAAAGGCGGGGGAGUCUUCGGACCUCGUGCUAUAGGAGGAGCCUGCGUCGGAUUAGCUAGUUGGUGAGGUAAAGGCUCACCAAGGCGACGAUCCGUAGCUGGUCUGAGAGGAUGAUCAGCCACACCGGAACUGAGACACGGUCCGGACUCCUACGGGAGGCAGCAGUGGGGAAUAUUGCGCAAUGGGCGAAAGCCUGACGCAGCCAUACCGCGUGUGUGAAGAAGGCC